rnacentral:misc_RNA from 1 species
GAUGAAGAACGUAGCGAAAUGCGAUAAGUAAUGUGAAUUGCAGAAUUCAGUGAAUCUUCGAAUCUUUGAACGCACAUUGCGCCCCCUGGUAUUCCGGGGGGCAUGCCUGUCCGAGCGUCAUUACAACCCUCAAGCUCAGCUUGGUGUUGGGCCCCGCCGCCCCGGCGGGCCCUAAAGUCAGUGGCGGUGCCGUCCGGCUCCGAGCGUAGUAAUUCUUCUCGCUCUGGAGGUCCGGUCGUGUGCUCGCCAGCAACCCCCAAUUUUUUUCAGGUUGACCUCGGAUCAGGUAGGGAUACCCUCUGAACUUAAGCAUAUCAAUAAGCGGAGGA